GGGGCCUCCACGGCCAAUGGCCAAGAUGGCGCGAGUCGCGGCCAGUGAUUCCGACGGGGUUCGCCUGGGGCACGAUGACAUGCUGUUGCCCUUGCUGCACUUUCCUGCACCGUGGGCUCCCCUUUUGGUACCUUUUCCACAACUGGGCCUCUUGGUAAGGAACCAUCUUCCCACCCUGCCUAGAAUCACCACUCACCUCCAACUGAAAACAUUUUUUUUAAUGGUAAUUAGGCUGUUAAUUAAGUUCAGAUUCAUUGUGAAGGGGUAACUCAGUGGAGCUUGGUUACCCAAGCUUUUGAAAGAAAAGUCUGUCUCCGGAGGAUUGGUCCUUGUCCGGCUCCUGGGAGGCCGCCGCUAAGCCCCUGUCGUAUUCUGCCCGAUCAGAGUGUUUUUGGAUUCCAGGCAUCGCCGUCCUUGUUGGGCCAGAUCGUUUAUACAAAGACUGUGACUUGCGGUGAACAUCUGUGUUUGUAUGUGUGAGGCCCUGGGCCACGCUGUGUUCGUUUGACGUCUGGGGGCUGUCGACUGAGUAGCUGAAGUCAGUCACGUGGUCAUGCCUGCAUGACCUCCAGUAGAGUCCCUGCACCCCAAGGCUUGGCUGAGCUCCCCUGGCCGGCAGCACUUAGCGGGUUUUGUGACGCACCAUUCCUGGGAGAAUUAAGCAUUGACCCGCGUGACUCCUUUGGGAGAAAACAACUGAUCUGUCACCACGGGUUUCUACUGGACGUCCCCCGUGUGCCUUUUUCCCCUUGCUGGUUGUCCUGUGCGUGCUGUCACUGUAAUAGGUCAUCACCGCGUAUAAAGCAGCUCAGAAGGACUCGCAGGACUCUGAAAAGUAGAACAGCUUUCCUGAGUCCCAGGGAAUCUUCGAGCCUGACGAGGGUCCCGGAGACCCGCCUCACGCUGUUGCUACAGGUGCUCAGAUCGGUACACGCUCUACCGUGUGAUUCAAGCAUCCCAGUAGGUGGACCUACUGAACCCAGUUGGACUGUCCCCUUGGCAAUCCCCAGGUUGCAGACCUGAUCCGGAACAUCCUGAAGAGUGAGGGCUGGCCGGAGGGUGUGCCCUGGGCAGGAGCUGAGCAGGCUUGCUUUCUUGAAGUUUCUAAUUAUACUUUUGUGGUUAUCCUAGAGAUGAUGACAUCUACUCCUGAUUUAUUAGUCUCUUGUAGAUUAAUCCUUUUACUGCUUCCUCCAGAAUUGAAUAAUGUAAAAUAUUUGCUCUGGCCCAUCUCCCCUUUUGUCUUGUUGUUGACCUGCAUUUUAGGUCCACAUCUAUUUUAAUGCCUCUCAAAGCGAUGUAAUUGUUUAAGACGGUGUUCUUAUAAAUUUACCCACAUACUUUGUCUUUCUAGUACUCUCCACUCCUUUUUGCACUUCUAUUUUUUAAGGAUCCAGAUUUUCUAACUUUCACAGAUACCUUCAGGGGGCGCCUGGGUGGUUCAGUCAGUUAAGCAUCUGACUCUUGAUGUCAGCUCAGGUCAGGAUCUCGAGGUUCGUGAGUUCGAGCCCCAUGUUGAGCUCUGUGCUGACCGCAGGGAGCCUGCUUGGGAUUCUUUCUCUCUCUGUGUCCCUCCCUCUCUCUCUCUC